GUGGAAACAGAGGAAGAGGAGGACUUCAUCGAGCUGCCGAACUCCCUCAACGGCCUGAUUCAUAUCCAUCCAAAGUUGGGGGCGGCUGAGAUGGAAGACCGCAUGGCCUUUGUGUCUCUGUUGGAGGGGCUGCUGCAUCUUGACGGGGAUGAGAGGAUCUCUCCUCGUCAAGCUCUGGAGCUGCCCUUCAUUUCCAUGAGCCACCUGAGGGAGGACGUCCACAGCAGAGACUAUCUGACCACCUCCCAAGAAGCAAUGAGGGUCUGCCCAACGGAGGACAGCG